rnacentral:rRNA from 1 species
CGGCAUGCUUAACACAUGCAAGUCGAACGGUAACAGGUCUAGCUUGCUAGAUGCUGACGAGUGGCGGACGGGUGAGUAACGCGUGGGAAUCUGCCUUCUAGGUGGGGGAUAGCCCGGAGAAAUCCGGAUUAAUACCGCAUACGCCCUACGGGGGAAAGCCGGGGAUCUUCGGACCUGGCGCUAGUAGAUGAGCCCGCGUGAGAUUAGCUUGUUGGUGGGGUAAUGGCCUACCAAGGCAACGAUCUCUAGCUGGUCUGAGAGGACGAUCAGCCACACUGGGACUGAGACACGGCCCAGACUCCUACGGGAGGCAGCAGUGGGGAAUAUUGGACAAUGGGCGAAAGCCUGAUCCAGCAAUGCCGCGUGUGUGAAGAAGGCCUGAGGGUUGUAAAGCACUUUCAAUCGUGAAGAAAAGUUGCAGGCUAAUACCCUGUGACCUUGACGUUAACGAUACAAGAAGCACCGGCUAACUCCGUG